rnacentral:rRNA from 2 species
UGCGAGACCGAUAGCGAACAAGUACCGUGAGGGAAAGAUGAAAAGAACUUUGAAAAGAGAGUUAAAGAGUACCUGAAACUGCUGAAAGGGAAUCGAAUCGUUUCCAGUGUCUAUAAUCCGUGGCAUAUUUCAUUGGCGUGUGGGUGCGUGUAUCGUUUUGGAAGGGGUUUCCUCUCCAUACGUUAUUGUGCGCUCGCUUGCUGGUGCCCUGUGCUGUGGUGGGACGUCAGAGUCAGUUUGUGUGUCGCGGGAAAUGGUUAUUGGGGAGGUAGGUCGCUUCGGUGGCUAUUAUAUCCUGGUAACUAGUCGUCGUGGCUGAGACUGAGGUGCCUACAAUGUGCUUUCGAGUGUGCGGGUUUCUCGUGUGGCUGUUUGCUUUGAUAGCUUGCUAUGUUGGUGAAUAAGUUGUGCGAUUGAGACCUGUAUUAACUUGUUGCUGUUCGGGACUUUGAA